UUCUUCUGUAAAAAAAGAUUGAAACUUCAAACGAUAUAGAGAAGCUAAGAGAGACGGCAAGGCUAAGAUAAUGAGAAGAUGAAGAAGAAGAAGAAAGAAAGAGAGCAGUUGAGGCACGAAGAACAACUACUGAAAGAGUUCUCUCUCUCUUUCUCAGAUCUUAAAGCGACCUCUUUGCGGCCUUUUUUUCUAUUUCUUCUUUGUGAGGGUUUUGGGUUUUCUUCUUAUAGGGAACUCUUCACUAUCUUAAUAAACAUCUAAAAGGUUUGUUGAAU
rnacentral:lncRNA from 1 species